rnacentral:rRNA from 1 species
CGAGAAAGCCCGCAAGGGUGAGUACAGCGGCGCACGGGUGAGUAACACGUGGGUAAUCUGCCCUAGAGUCCGGAAUAACUCGCCGAAAGGCGUGCUAAUGCCGGAUGAGACCACGGGAGCUUCGGCUUCCGCGAGAAAAGGUGGCCUCUGUAUACAAGCUAUCGCUCUAGGAUGAGCCCGCGGCCCAUCAGCUCGUUGGCGGGGUAAUGGCCCACCAAGGCUACGACGGGUAGCUGGUCUGAGAGGACGAUCAGCCACACUGGAACUGAGACACGGUCCAGACUCCUACGGGAGGCAGCAGUGGGGAAUCUUGCGCAAUGGGCGAAAGCCUGACGCAGCAACGCCGCGUGUGUGAUGAAGGUCUUCGGAUCGUAAAGCACUGUCGCGAGGGACG